AAACUCCCUACUAAUUUUCGAUACAAAGAUGGAUCAAAAAGUAGUUCUCCCUCUUCUAUAUGGUACUUAACAUUCGUUUCUAGAGGAGUAUCAACUGAAGAAGAAUUCUAAAGAUCAACCAAAGAAAUUAAGUCUUGAGUAUUUUUAUGCUGAUAUCAGUAAGAAUAUACCAGAAGAGUUAGAGUGAACUUCUACACCUAAGAAAUAU
rnacentral:lncRNA from 1 species